rnacentral:rRNA from 1 species
UGCAGUCGAGCGGAAACGACACUAACAAUCCUUCGGGUGCGUUAAUGGGCGUCGAGCGGCGGACGGGUGAGUAAUGCCUAGGAAAUUGCCUUGAUGUGGGGGAUAACCAUUGGAAACGAUGGCUAAUACCGCAUAAUGCCUACGGGCCAAAGAGGGGGACCCUCGGGCCUCUCGCGUCAAGAUAUGCCUAGGUGGGAUUAGCUAGUUGGUGAGGUAAUGGCUCACCAAGGCGACGAUCCCUAGCUGGUCUGAGAGGAUGAUCAGCCACACUGGAACUGAGACACGGUCCAGACUCCUACGGGAGGCAGCAGUGGGGAAUAUUGCACAAUGGGCGAAAGCCUGAUGCAGCCAUGCCGCGUGUAUGAAGAAGGCCUUCGGGUUGUAAAGUACUUUCAGUUGUGAGGAAGGGGGUAGUGUUAAUAGCGCUAUCUCUUGACGUUAGCAACAGAAGAAGCACCGGCUAACUCCGUGCCAGCAGCCGCGGUAAUACGGAGGGUGCGAGCGUUAAUCGGAAUUACUGGGCGUAAAGCGCAUGCAGGUGGUUCAUUAAGUCAGAUGUGAAAGCCCGGGGCUCAACCUCGGAACUGCAUUUGAAACUGGUGAACUAGAGUACUGUAGAGGGGGUAGAAUUC